rnacentral:rRNA from 1 species
GAUGAACGCUGACAGAAUGCUUAACACAUGCAAGUCAAAUCUGGCGGACGGGUGAGUAAGGCGUAAAGAACUUGCCUCACAGAUGGAGACAGCCUAGGGAAACGAAUUAAAAUACCUGAUACUGUGAGAGAGCUGUGCGUUCCAUUAGCCACUUGGAGAGGUAACGGCUCACUAGGGCGAUGAUGGGUAGCCGGACUGAGAGGGAGAUACGCCACAAGGGGACUUGGAAGCCACCCGUACGCCAACGGGGAGCAUGGGUGAGGAAUAGUGGCAAAUAGACCAAAGUAUGAUGCAGGCAUUCGGUUUGCAAGAUGAAGUUGUCGGAAUGUAAAGUGCUUUCAUUUGGGAAGCGGUACCAACAGAAGAAGGGACGGCUAAAUACGUGCCAGCAGCCGCGGUAAUAC